rnacentral:rRNA from 1 species
UGGUGACAGGUGGUGCAUGGUUGUCGUCAGCUCGUGUCGUGAGAUGUUGGGUUAAGUCCCGCAACGAGCGCAACCCUUGUCUUUAGUUGCCAUCAUUAAGUUGGGCACUCUAGAGAGACUGCCAGGGAUAACCUGGAGGAAGGUGGGGAUGACGUCAAAUCAUCAUGCCCCUUAUGCUUAGGGCUACACACGUGCUACAAUGGGUAGUACAGAGGGUUGCCAAGCCGUAAGGUGGAGCUAAUCCCUUAAAGCUACUCUCAGUUCGGAUUGUAGGCUGAAACUCGCCUACAUGAAGCUGGAGUUACUAGUAAUCGCAGAUCAGAAUGCUGCGGUGAAUGCGUUCCCGGGUCUUGUACACACCGCCCGUCACACCACGGGAGUUGGAGACGCCCGAAGCCGAUUAUCUAACCUUUUGGAAGAAGUCGUCGAAGGUGGAAUCAAUAACUGGGGUGAAGUCGUAACAAGGUAGCCGUAUCGGAAGGUGCGGCUGGAUC